rnacentral:rRNA from 1 species
AACGAACGCUGGUGGCGUGCUUCAUACAUGCAAGUCGAACGAGAAAGUACCUUCGGGUGCGAGUACAGUGGCGCACGGGUGCGUAACACGUAGGUGACCAACCCUUUAGUGGGGGACAACAUCGGGAAACCGGUGCUAAUACCGCAUAUGAUGAGUGAUCUUGAAAUAACUUAUCAAAGGUGGCUUCUUUUUCCCUCUUCCUUCCUUUUAGGAUCGAAGAGCUUUUUAAGUCAAACAUGAAGAUGAGUCAGUAAUGAUUCAUUUUCAGGUUUAGGGAAAACGCUAUCGCUAGAGGAUGGGCCUGCGGAGCAUUAGCUUGAUGGUGGGGUAAUGGCCUACCAUGGCUAUGAUGCUUAGCUGGUCUGAGAGGACGAUCAGCCACACUGGAACUGAGACACGGUCCAG